AUACUUACCUGGCAGGGGAGACACCAUGAUCAUGAAGGUGGUUUUNCCAGGGUGAGGCUCAUCCAUUGCACUCCAGGUGUGCUGACCCCUGCGAUUUCCCCAAAUGCGGGAAACUCGACUGCAUAAUUUGUGGUAGUGGGGGACUGCGUUCACGCUUUCCCCUG
rnacentral:snRNA from 1 species